rnacentral:rRNA from 1 species
ACCGCGUGGGGGCCCCUUUUGGUUAUUUCUGAGGGGGGCUUUUCACGUUUUUACACAAACACCCUUUUAAUGCAUGUGUAGAAUGUCUUACUUGUUGUGAUCACACACAAUCAAUACAACUUUCAACAACGGAUCUCUUGGCUCUCGCAUCGAUGAAGAACGCAGCGAAAUGCGAUACGUAAUGUGAAUUGCAGAAUUCAGUGAAUCAUCGAAUCUUUGAACGCACCUUGCGCCCUUUGGUAUUCCGAGGGGCACACCCGUUUGAGUGUCGUGACAUUCUCAAACCUUCUUGGUUUCUUGACCGGGAAGGCUUUGGACUUUGGAGGCUUUUGCUGGCCUUCUCUUGUUGAAGCCAGCUCCUCUGAAAUGAAUUAGCGGGGUCUGCUUUGCUAAUCCUUGACGUGAUAAGAUGCUUCUACGUCUUGGGUUUUGCACUGUUCCGCUUCUAACCGUCUCAUAGAAGACAAUGGCCGAGUGAUUGCCACUUGACCC